CCUGGGCAAGGAGAGAGGAGGGAGGGGACUGACCGGAACCCCUCCAAAGCAUUUAAUGAUGAGGCAGCCGAGACCCUGCCUCGGGCACCACGAGGAAAGGACUAUGGGAGUCCCAGAGGCACUGGGCUCCGCCCGGACUGGGGAAGUCAGUUGGAGGGGGGGUGGGGGGGACGGGGCAGGGUCUCCCCGGCACCCAGCGGACACCUCACGGUGCAAAUUUGGGGAGCUGGCGCCCUCUGCUGGCGUCCUGGUGACACUGUCUCUCGCCCUAAUGACCUCGCCCUGCAGAAAGGCCCCUUGCCUUCUUCACCCCCUUCAGCAGAUACUCACUGCUCACCCACUGUGUGUUCUGAGCACUGGGAUGCGGCGCUGAAUAUAAAGGGCACAUAUCUCUGCCCCUGAGGGGCUUCUUUUCCACCAUGGGAGGGCAGACGAUGAGCCAAAGACAUAAACGAUUAAGUUAUCCAGUGCUAGGUGAAGAUGGCAAGGUCGCGCCAGAGUAGAAUGAGCUAAACAGCAUACAAAAGAUUGGGAGUUCUGGGGGCAGUUUGAAGUAUUAAAUAGGAAAGUCAAGGAGGUCUCGGGGAGGCGCAGUCUGAGUCCAGCGUUAAAGUUGGUGAGUGGGAGCUGUGGGCGCACCUGUGGCAGAAGGGACAGCGAAUGCGGGAGCCCUGGGGGGGGGAGGGCAGGGCAGGCCAUGGGAGGUGACACCAGGGAGGUGGGCACGCUGACAGACUGGGGGUGGGGAGCAUUGGGAGCCUCUUAGUUAUUGGUAACCCGGAUGAGAGGAGAAGCGCCCGGCAUUGUCCAGGAGGGUGGAGAGAGGCCAGCCCAGGAAACGUGGUGUCACCGUCUGGCAGGUGUUUUUAAAUUUGUUUUUAAAGUUUAUUCAUUUUUGAGAGAGAGAGAGAGAGAGAGAAUGAGCAGAGGAGGGGCAGAGAGAGAGGGAGACACAGAAUCCGAAGCAGGCUCCAGGCUCCUAGCUGUCAGCACAGAGCCCGAUGCGGGGCUUGAACCCACGGACUGUGAGAUCAUGACCUGAGCCGAAGUCGGACGCUUAACUGACUGAGCCACCCAGGCACCCCUGUCUGGCAGUUCUAAGGGCCUAAUGGAUUUAAAGGGAGUCCAUUCGGUGUGGGAGUGUUUUUCUCCAGCUAGGCCCAGGCUCCUGGGCCACACAGGAACAGGAGAGCAAGAUCCAGCCAGAGUGGUGGUUUCGCCAAACAAAAGCGAUACGGGACUGGGCACUGAGGGUGCCUGCCGGGGGGGGGGGGGGGAGCAUGUAACGGUGACCAGGGAACCCAGGCCGGGAAAGGAGGGGCUUGAGCAGCAGUGAAAGAGGCGAGAGACCACACCUGUCAGCGGGUCACAGGUCCUAAAGGCAGAGUCAUCUCUGAGCCCCAGCCUCUGUCCUGGAGGAAGUCAGCUGAAGAGGGAGGACAGACAGAGAGCCCAUCGAUUAAGCGGUGAUGUGAUGGGUCCUGUACGGGGUGGCCGGGCCUCCGAGGGAUGGCAGGGCAGGGGGCCCCCACUGGACAGUUUCUGAGAGGAGCCGCCCGGUGCAGGCGUGGAAGAGGAGGAGCAGGGAGGACUCCCGGGAGAGCUGGAGCAUAAGCUAACGGGCCUUGGAGCAGCUGUGGGGAGCCGAGCAGGGACGGUCUGCAGAAAGAUUCACAAGUGAACCCGCGGGGCUCAAGGCCUGGGUGGCCGGGAGGAGGGUGUGGGUGCUGGUCAGGGGCGAGGACCCUGAAGGAAGCAGGAGGACAAAGAGUGUGGUCCCCCACCCGCCCCCUACCCGGGACCAGGCCCCGCCCCAGCCUGCUGGAUGUGGAUCUGGAUUUCACCGAGAUUCCCAGUGCUGGCGGGGCACGUGGCCACUGGAGAUGCGCCGGCAGCGUGGACCCUAGCAGAUACGAGCACGGCUCAAGGAGCUCGUGCUCUGUCCCCACGGGGAGCAGGGGACAGGCCAGUGGCCGUGGCGCCGGGCAGCACUGGCGCGGGAGCGUCCUGGCAGAUGCGGGGGAGGUGGGGGGCUCCGGAGGCGCGGGGCGCACACCUGUACACGGCGUAGGUGUGGUACUCGUUCAGGUAGUCGAUGCGGUCCUCCAGCUUGUUGCUGCGGUGGCUCUUGUCGAUGCUGAGGACGAAGAGGUUGAUGUAGGCGUCCAGCGAGAACUGGUACAUGGGGUCGAUGCGGCCCAUGUCGUUGAGCACGAAGAACAGAACCGACGCCCUCUGGGCACACGGGCGCUGCUCGGUCACCUCGGUGGCGGUCAUCUUGGAGGUACGAAGGGUGUUCACCAGCUGCACGUCGUCGAGCAGGGAGCCCGUGGCCUCAUUCAGCAGCCUGAAGGGAAGCGCAG